GGCAUAGUAGCUCAAUGGGAGAGCCUUCUGCUUCGGAAGGGUAUAUGCAGACGAAACGCCUUCGAUGUUGGUUCAAGUCCAACCUGUGCCA
rnacentral:tRNA from 1 species